CCGCUGACGUAGGAGGAGCUGGAGAGGCAGGAUAGAACGAACCAUUAUUCGGAGCGCAAGGGGGGAAGUAAGGGAAGGGGAGAGAGAAAGCGUUCUAUGGGCCGAACCAUUUGGAGAGUGAAGAGGGGAAGGAUCGAGUCUUUCUUCUUUCCUUCCUUCUUGCCUAUCUUUUGCUGUGUUUGAAGGACUGCCAAAGGACGGUCCACUUUGUUGGAGGUUCUCAAUAGAAGACCUACCCAGUUCAAGGCUGACAUGAGCAGAGGAUAAUAAUCAUAAUACAUAACAUUGAAAAUUAUAUGUAUAUGUGUGUAUAUAAAAAGGUAAAGGUUUUCCCCUGAUGUUAAGUCCAGUCAUGUCUGGCUCUGGGGGUUGGUGCUCAUCUCCAUUUCUAAGCCGAAGAGCCAGCGUUGUCCAUAGACACCUCCAAGGUCAUGUGGCCGGCAUGACUGCAUGGAGCGCCGUUACCUUCCCGCCAGAGCGGACCACCUCAGCAAGCAAGAGUCCAAAAGUGGCAGGCUAGAACCCAGAACCUCAAGCCAUGGCUGACACCCAAUGAGAGACUCCCUCCUGGGCAUACAGAAGACUGGGCGACUUGGAAUGUGCUGAACAGACUGCGCUCUGGCACCAUGAGAUGCAGAGCCAACCUUAAGAAAUGGAGCCACAAAGUGGAGUCUACGACAUGCUAGUGUGGAGAAGAGAAGACCACAGACCACCUAUUACAAUGCAGUCUGAGUCCUGUCACAUGCACAAUGGAGGACCUUAUAGCAACACCAGAGGCCCUCAAAGGACAUUUAGUAUAAUGCCAAGUUUUAAACAUUGUUUGUGUUUUUAAAUACAUUACAAAUGUACCCUCGCUUUGUUUCUGACAUGAUAAAUAAAAUAAAUAGUGGUAUAGUACAA